GAACAGGCAGCAAUAUCAGCAGUGUCGAUGGAAGCCUGCAAAGAUGUUCUGGUCCUGAAAUUGCUUGAACUCAUCCGGCAGAGAUGGAGAAGAUGGCACAACUGCUUCAUCCAGGGAUGAAGAACAGAUUUUGUCUGGUGGGAGGACCUCUUCAUCACCCUUCUUCCUGAGUGGUGGAGCACCGGAAAAAACAUGAGGAAAAACCAUCAGUACCAGGUAAAUGUCCAGAGAUCUGGAAGUCCUGGGUACCAGGAGCAUAUUGUGGCCAAGCAAAGGUGAGUUGGG